CUGCCUUUUCCGCCUCCGCUCCCUUUCCUCCCACACAGGCCGCAGUGCCCGGAGGCUGCCAUCUUCCUGCUUCAGGACCAGACUCCUGCCUUGCUUCCCGAGUCCCUUCCUGACAGACACAGCUCCCACAGCUCUGCGUCUCCUCCCGCCACUCCCAGACCUCCCUGUGUUCUGGCCAGGCAGGGAUGCUCUUGGGCUGCCACACGUGCCAUCCUUUUAUUUUCCAUGGCUGUCCUGUUUGAAUUCUUGAUCUUUUGUGAGCUCCCAUGUGUUUGAAAUCUGGUCACAGCAUCUGGAGUUUUUGCAGAGCUCUUCUCUCAUGUCACUGUUCAACGUUUUUCAGAUUAGACAGACACACCCAGGCCACCACUCUUGUUUGUCAGAUAUUUGGAGGAUACCUAAGAUCUAGAGGUAAGCUUUUGCUUGUAAGUUGAUAAAAUGAUACACACAUGUGGUUAAAAGAUGGUAAUAGUAGGACAGGGUUAGUCCUACUAGGAGGGAAGGAAAAGUGCUUCUCUCCAGCCCAGAUUCUCAUUCCUUUUACCCAAAGGCAACCUCGGUGCCAGGUUGUAGUAAAUCCUCCUGGUAGUUUCCUGUGCAUGAAUAAACUGGGAGCAUACUGUGUGCACUGCUUCCAUUUGUCUCUUCGUAUUAGCAGUCUUUUACAUUUCAGCACACAGGCCUAACAGCCUUUGACAGUUGGAGUAGUGUUCCGUUUAUUUUAGUCCCCUAUCGAUGGGAUUUAGGUUGUUCGUGUUUUGUUGUUGUUCAUGGAGCAUCCGUGCACACAUGCUUUAUGUCUGGGUAAAAAUGUAUAUGUAGGAUGAAUUCUUAGAAUUUCUGGAUCACAGGGAGUGUGUAUUGUAAAUUUUAAUUCUGUCAGGUUGUCUUCUAAGAGGUUAUACCAGUUUUGAUUCUAAUCAAUAGUAUUUGAGCUUGCAUUUUUCUGAUUACAGAUGUAAUACAUGCUUAUGAUAAAAAUGAGUAACGUUGCAGAUAUAUGUAAAAUCCUAUCCUUUUGAAUGCAUUGUUUUUAACAGUUUGAUAUGUACUGCUCCAGAACGUAUUGUUCACUUUUUAUAUAAAUGGGAUUGUGUCUGAUGUCUGUCUGGCCACUCACUGUUUCAUGUAAUUCUGUUGAGACCUUUCUGUGUGAGCAUGCUCUCUGGGCAGUGUGUGGUGCAGUGAAUGGAUAGACUGUAAUUCCUAUGCCGAAUUCCUUGCUGGUGGAUAUUUGGUUUGCUUCCAGUUUUAUGUAUUGCUGCAGUGAGCAUCCUCUAUAUUUUUGUUCACUUUAAUUCUGCUCAUUUUUAAAUGGGAGAGGAUAUAAUUUGGUAUGUAGAUUUAUAAAAGUGAACAUCAUACUACUAAAUGAAAAUUUUUUUUCUUUUUUUUUUUUUUGAGAUGGAGUCCUGCUCUGUCACCCAGGCUAGAGUGCAGUGGCUCGAUCUCGGCUCACUGCAACCUCCACCUCCUGGGUUCAGGCGAUUCUUCUGCCUCAGCCUCCCAAGUAGCUGGGACUAUAGGCGCGUGCCACUGUGCCCUGCUAAUUUUUUGUAUUUUUAGUAGAGACGGGGUUUUACCAUGUUAGCCAGGAUGGUCUGGAUCUCCUGACCUCAUGAUCUGCCUGCCUUGGCCUCCCAACGUGCUGGGAUUACAGGCGUGAGCCACCGCGCCCGCCCGGAAAAUUUUCUUUUUACAUAAAAAUUUUCAUUUGCUUUUAUAUCUUUGAGUCUUCUGUUCUUUCUUUUAAAAAAUAAGGGGCACGGCUGGGCAUGACAGCUCAUACCUGUAAUCCUAACAGUUUGGGAGGUCGAGGUGGGAGGAUCGCUUGAGCC
rnacentral:lncRNA from 1 species